rnacentral:piRNA from 1 species
UUUAUUCCUAGGGCAUUUUGUCACAAC